rnacentral:snRNA from 1 species
AAUCGUUUAAUUAAUCAACGAAA